CGCCACACUGAAGGAUAUAGAAGACUGUUCAUUUUACUCUUGUGACAAGACUACAGUUUUCUAAGAGGAGCUUCAAGCACAGAAACGGGUUGGCGGCAAAGACAUGCAUCAGACCAACUGUUGAGUUUUAACCCUUGGCCAUGGGUCAGUACAAU